rnacentral:rRNA from 1 species
GACGAACGCUGGCGGCGUGCUUAACACAUGCAAGUCGAACGGGAUUUAGUAAACGGAAGCCUCGGUGGAAGAUUACUAAUGAGAGUGGCGAACGGGUGAGUAACGCGUGGGCAACCUGCCUAUGACAGUGGGAUAGCCUCGGGAAACCGGGAUUAAUACCGCAUAAAAUCGUAGAAACACAUGUUUCAACGGUCAAAGAUUUAUCGGUCAUAGAUGGGCUCGCGUCUGAUUAGCUAGUUGGUGAGAUAACAGCCCACCAAGGCGACGAUCAGUAGCCGGUCUGAGAGGAUGAACGGCCACAUUGGAACUGAGACACGGUCCAAACUCCUACGGGAGGCAGCAGUGGGGAAUAUUGCACAAUGGGGGAAACCCUGAUGCAGCGACGCCGCGUGAACGAAGAAGGUAUUCGUAUCGUAAAGUUCUGUCCUAUGGGAAGAUAAUGACAGUACCAUAGAAGAAAGCUCCGGCUAAAUACGUG